UGGGGAAUUUUGGACAAUGGGCGAAAGCCUGAUCCAGCAAUGCCGCGUGUGUGAAGAAGGCCUUCGGGUUGUAAAGCACUUUUGUCCGGAAAGAAAUCCUUGGCUCUAAUACAGUCGGGGGAUGACGGUACCGGAAGAAUAAGCACCGGCUAACUGCGUGCCAGCAGCCGCGGUAAUACGUAGGGUGCAAGCGUUAAUCGGAAUUACUGGGCGUAAAGCGUGCGCAGGCGGUUUGCUAAGACCGAUGUGAAAUCCCCGGGCUCAACCUGGGAACUGCAUUGGUGACUGGCAGGCUAGAGUAUGGCAGAGGGGGGUAGAAUUCCACGUGUAGCAGUGAAAUGCGUAGAGAUGUGGAGGAAUACCGAUGGCGAAGGCAGCCCCCUGGGCCAAUACUGACGCUCAUGCACGAAAGCGUGGGGAGCAAACAGGAUUAGAUACCCUGGUAGUCCACGCCCUAAACGAUGUCAACUAGUUGUUGGGGAUUCAUUUCCUUAGUAACGUAGCUAACGCGUGAAGUUGACCGCCUGGGGAGUACGGUCGCAAGAUUAAAACUCAAAUGAAUUGACGGGGUCAUAGCUGUUUCCU
rnacentral:rRNA from 1 species